rnacentral:rRNA from 1 species
GCGCGUAAAUUGCCCGAAUCCUGACACAGGGAGGUAGUGACAAGAAAUAACAAUACAGGGCUCUCUGAGUCUUGUAAUUGGAAUGAGUACAAUUUACAUCUCUUCACGAGGAUCAAUUGGAGGGCAAGUCUGGUGCCAGCAGCCGCGGUAAUUCCAGCUCCAAUAGCGUAUAUUAAAGUUGUUGCAGCUAGAACGCUCGUAGUCGGAUUUCGGGGCGGGACGACCGGUCUGCCGAUGGGUAUGCACUGGUGGUCGCGUCCUUCCUUCCGGAGACCGUGCCUACUCUUAACUGAGCGGGUGCGGGAGACGGAUCGUUUACUUUGAAAAAAUCAGAGUGUUUCAAGCAGGCAGCUCGCUCUUGCAUGGAUUAGCAUGGGAUAAUGAAAUAGGACUUUGGUGCUAUUUUGUUGGUUUCGAACACCGAAGUAAUGAUUAACAGGGACAGUCAGGGGCACUCGUAUUCC